rnacentral:rRNA from 1 species
AUGCAACUUACUGGAGCACAGCUGAAGGCAGUAUUUGGUCCAAGACCAGCACAGACGAACAUACCACAUCAUAUGGAAAAGAGGAUCCUCGAUGACAUAGCAGAAAUCUGGGAAAGCAGACAAGAAUCAAAACAGAGUGACAGAGUAAUAUUAGGCCCAAACUUUGCAGAGAUAUUCAUUCCAAUGGAGAAGCAUGACCGCUAUGUACUAUAUGUGCUGGACAAAUACAAACACAAAGUUCAUAUUAUUGAUCCUCGAGAAACAACUCACGAGGAAUUUGAUAAAGAAAAGAUAGACAUCGACAAAUUGAUAGAAGAAGAAGCAUGUCGAGUUCUUCAGGAAAAUGAAGAUGCUAGAGAAAAAAGAGAAAGACAGUUUCAGGAAUAUCAUGUUCAUAAGUCGAUAAAAAUAAUUAAUUGCAAAAUACAAUAUUCUCAGGUACCAAUGCCAAGGGUACAAGAUGGCAGACUCAUACCGUGCAAGAUGUUCUAG